rnacentral:lncRNA from 1 species
GCGACCGAUUCCAACAAACGAAUAGCCUAUGCCAAUGUUUUUUACCUUCCGAGCAACUAGUUCCAACAAACGAACAACUCAUGUCAAUCUUUUAUCUUUACGCCCAGCGACCGAUUCCAACAAACGAAUAAGCCUAUGCCAAUGUUUUUUACCUUCCGAGCAACUAGUUCCAACAAACGAACAACUCAUGUCAAUCUUUUACCUUUAUGCUCAGCGACCAGUUCCAACCAACGAACAGCCUGUAACAAGUGGCCAAUUUCAACCAACAAAUAGCUUGUAUCCUUCUAUUAUUUCAUUUUCAAAACCAAGUCCAC